rnacentral:tRNA from 1 species
GGGCGCAUAGCUCAGUUGGUCAGAGCGCUUCCCUUACAAGGAAGAUGCCGGGGGUUCGAGUCCCUCUGCGCCCA